rnacentral:rRNA from 1 species
UACGUAGGUGGCAAGCGUUGUCCGGAUUUACUGGGUGUAAAGGGCGUGUAGGCGGGGAUGCAAGUCAGAUGUGAAAUACCCGCGGCUCAACCGCGGAACUGCAUCUGAAACUGCGUCUCUUGAGUGUCGGAAGGGAAAGUGGAAUUCCUAGUGUAGCGGUGAAAUGCGUAGAUAUUUGGAGGAACACCAGUGGCGAAGGCGACUCUUUGGUCUAUUACUGACGCUGAGGUACGAAAGCAUGGGUAGCAAACAGGAUUAGAUACCCU